rnacentral:rRNA from 1 species
UACGUAGGGGGCUAGCGUUGUCCGGAAUCAUUGGGCGUAAAGAGCGCGUAGGCGGCCAGAUAAGUCCGGUGUGAAAGUCAAAGGCUCAACCUUUGAAUGCCGCUGGAAACUGUCUGGCUAGAGUCCGGGAGGGGCGAGUGGAAUUCCUGGUGUAGCGGUGAAAUGCGCAGAUAUCAGGAGGAACACCAAUGGCGAAGGCAGCUCGCUGGGACGUGACUGACGCUGAGACGCGAAAGCGUGGGGAGCAAACAGG